rnacentral:misc_RNA from 1 species
GAUGAAGAACGUAGCGAAAUGCGAUAAGUAGUGUGAAUUGCAGAAUUCAGUGAAUCAUCGAAUCUUUGAACGCACAUUGCGCCCGCCAGUAUUCUGGCGGGCAUGCCUGUCCGAGCGUCACUUCAACCCUCGAGCCCCUCCGGGGGGUCGGCGUUGGGGAUCGGCCCCUCACCGGGCCGCCCCCGAAAUACAGUGGCGGUCUCGCCGCAGCCUCUCCUGCGCAGUAGUUUGCACACUCGCACCGGGAGCGCGGCGCGGCCACAGCCGUAAAACACCCCAAGCAUUCUGAAAUGUUGACCUCGGAUCAGGUAGGAAUACCCGCUGAACUUAAGCAUAUCAAUAAGCGGAGGA